rnacentral:rRNA from 12 species
AUAUGUGGCUGCACCAGAGUGCGCGUGUUCGAUAGCAUCUGCUCUUGGAAGCUAAGCAGGGCCGUGCCUGGUUAGUGCUUGGAUGGGAGACCAACUUGACAGACCAGGGGCCGCUAGCC